AGCAAGGUGUUCAGAAUGCAAGUGGUCUUUGAAAAACCAAACCAAGGUUCCUCCUCCACCCCUGCCUCAGCUCCACAGCUCCUAGAGGACCAGAAGCGCAAACACUACCUUCUUGUCUCUGGUGAACCCUGGUUUCCGUGGCCUCCAGACUCAGUAAGCUGGAAGGAACAAAGACUGAUUUAUUCUUCAUCAAGGUAAAGAUUUCUACUCAGUUUCAGGAACUGAGAAGGAAGAAUCAAAGACUUACCAACAGAAGAAUCUGAGAGAAGCGUGGCAACAAUGUAAAUGGCAGAAACACUUUUGGCUACAGAGGACAGAGACAGAAAAU